CAUUUUCUCUUCUCUUGUCUUGUAAUGUGAAGAAUGGGUAAUUAAUUGGUAGACUGUGCGAUCCUGAAUAUAGAUGCAAAAGGAACUCCUGAAUAUAGAUGCAAGAGGAACUCAAAAAAAAAAAAAAAAAAAAAAGAGGAGGUAAAAACAGAAGGAUUUGGAGAGAUAGAAAGCAGAAAAAAGGCAGCCCAGGGACCCAGGCGCCUCUGAUCUUAUGUCUCCGCCAUCCUCAAGAUGCUACAUCCAUCUCAUGAUCUAAGAUGACUGCUUUAGCUCCAGCAUCACAACUUUAUUCCAACCGGCAGAAAAGAAGAAAAAGGGCUCAUUCUUUCCUUCUACACUUAUGAACUGCACAGCCACAUCACAAUACAGCCAUGGAGAUAAAACUUUCCUCUCAUGGAGUCAUUAAAGAGUUUAGAGAAAUUAAAUGAGGCCAUUUAUGUGAAAGAACUUUAAUGAUGAACAGCAUCCACCAUACAAAUUAAUUGGCCCCUUCUUAAAAUUACGUGCCAGAUAGAGAAUUUAAAAAGAUCUUGUACAUAGUUAUUACAAUUGUUACUAAACCAAAACUCUGGCAAAAAGGAGGAAAUAAAACACACAGCUUUCUUC